UACGAAGGGGGCUAGCGUUGCUCGGAAUCACUGGGCGUAAAGGGUGCGUAGGCGGGUCUUUAAGUCAGGGGUGAAAUCCCAGAGCUCAACUCUGGAACUGCCUUUGAUACUGGCGACCUAGAGUCCGGAAGAGGUUAGUGGAAUUCCCAGUGUAGAGGUGAAAUUCGUAGAUAUUGGGAAGAACACCAGUGGCGAAGGCGGCUAACUGGUCCGGUACUGACGCUGAGGAGCGAAAGCGUGGGUAGCAAACAGG
rnacentral:rRNA from 1 species